GCCGGGGUAGCUCAGCUGGGAGAGCAACAGACUGAAGCCUAGCUGAAGCAGAACGCGCUGUCGGUUCGACAGCUCGCACCGCUAUGGCAAUCUGGAGGUCCCGUGUUCAAUCCACGGUCCUGGCA